rnacentral:rRNA from 1 species
UACAGAGGGUGCAAGCGUUGUUCGGAAUUAUUGGGCGUAAAGCGCGUGUAGGCGGCUUUGCAAGUCUUGUGUGAAAUCCCUCGGCUUGACCGAGGAAGUGCGCAAGAAACUGCAGAGCUUGAGUACCGGAGAGGAUGGUGGAAUUCCCCAAGUAGAGGUGAAAUUCGUAGAUAUGGGGAGGAACACCGGUGGCGAAGGCGACCAUCUGGACGGAUACUGACGCUGAGACGCGAAAGCGUGGGGAGCAAACAGG